CGGCAGGCUUAACACAUGCAAGUCGACGGGUAACGAUUUUGAGUAAUCAAAAGGCGACGACCGGCGCACGGGUGAGUAUCGCGUAUGUAACCUACCUCUGACUGGAGCAGAGCCCGAAGAAAUUCGGAUUAAUACUCCAUAAUACUGCGAGAAGGCAUCUUUUUUCAGUUAAAGCUUCGGCGGUCAGAGAUGGGCCUGCGUAAACAUAAGCUGGUUGGUGAGGUAACAGCUCACCAAGGCUACGAUGUUUAGGGGGUCUGAGAGGAUGGUCCCCCACACUGGUACUGAGACACGGACCAGAGUCGCGACGGGAGGCAGCAGUGAGGAAUAUUGGUCAAUGGGCGAAAGCCUGAACCAGCCAUGCCGCGUGAAGGAUGACGGCCCUAUGGGUUGUAAACUUCUUUUAUACGGGAAGAAACCCCUCUACGUGUAGGGGGCUGACGGUACCGUACGAAUAAGCAUCGGCUAACUCCGUGCCAGCAGCCGCGGUAAUACGGAGGAUGCAAGCGUUAUCCGGAUUUAUUGGGUUUAAAGGGUGCGUAGGCGGAAAAUUAAGUCAGUGGUGAAAUCCUGCAGCUUAACUGUAGAAUUGUCAUUGAUACUGGUUUUCUUGAAUACAGUUGAGGUAGGCGGAAUGAGUAAUGUAGCGGUGACAUGCUUAGAUAUUACUCAGAACACCAAUUGCGAAGGCAGCUUACUAAACUGUGAUUGACGCUGAGGCACGAAAGCGUGGGGAAGCGAACAGGAUUAGAUACCCUGGUA
rnacentral:rRNA from 1 species